UACGUAGGUCCCGAGCGUUAUCCGGAUUUAUUGGGCGUAAAGCGAGCGCAGGCGGUUAGAUAAGUCUGAAGUUAAAGGCUGUGGCUUAACCAUAGUACGCUUUGGAAACUGUUUAACUUGAGUGCAGAAGGGGAGAGUGGAAUUCCAUGUGUAGCGGUGAAAUGCGUAGAUAUAUGGAGGAACACCGGUGGCGAAAGCGGCUCUCUGGUCUGUAACUGACGCUGAGGCUCGAAAGCGUGGGGAGCAAACAGGAUUA
rnacentral:rRNA from 1 species